GAUGAACGCUGGCGGCGGGCCUAACACAUGCAAGUCGAACGGUGAAACGCUAACCUCUUGCGUGUGCGGGUGUCGGGGGCCAGCGGGGUAGUAACACGAUAGUAACCUACUUUUUCGUGCGGGAUAACGGCAGGAAAGUGACGCUAAUACGGCAUAUGCUGUACCUGUGGCAUCAUGGGUCCUUCAGAGCUUUCGUGUCGGUGUGGGAUGGGCUCGUGUCGGCUUAGCGGGUUGGUGGGGUCAUGGCCUACCAAGGCGGCGUUGCGUAGCCGGCGUGAGAGGAUGAUCAGCCACACUGGAACGGAGACAAGGUCCAGACGCCUACGGGAGGCAGCAGUAGUGAAUAUUAUAGAAUGGUCGGAAGAAGGAUGCAGCAAUGCCGCGGCGGUGAAGAUGGACUCCGUGUUGUAAAGAACUUCUUUCGGGAAAGAAGAGCGGCUGGUUAAUAUGUGGCUGGGUUGACGGUACCUAAAUAAGAAGCACCGGCUAACUACGUG
rnacentral:rRNA from 1 species